UCGAAGAUAUUUAUUGCUCCAGUUUACAGAUAUACGACGUAAACAGACGAUUACUCGUCGAUAACGUCAUAUAGAAAUAAGGAUAACAUCGUUUAAUCGCUGUUUCGAUGAAAAUUCCAUAUAGUCGAUAUUAUUAAUGUAUUCGUUUCAUCGUCGUAUUCGUUCGAACACAUCUUCGUGAACAAUGUAAGAUAAAAGCAUUAUAUUUUUCUUACAUAGUACCUGUUACAAAAUAAUUAAGUACAAUAAUGGAGAUAAUCUCUGUAGCGUUAGACAAAAUUGUGUCUACGUAAUAAACAUUAUAGUACAUUUACAGCACAUUCUUUUAAUAUUGGCAUAAUAUUUUUAAUAUUUAAUUAUUUAAUUUAAUAAUUUUUUAAUUCGAACGUAAUAGCUACAGAGUUUAAUGUUACUUUUUCGGAACGUCGUUAGCACGGUUUGGACAUUGGAUGUACACGUUGAUCGAAACAGCGAAAAGUAAUUUUAAGUCAAUAUCGCGAGCCACCGAUUAGAUACGUGACAAUAACUUCGAUUAACGCGGUAAAUUCAAUCACCGAACCAAUUCGGGCAGUCCCCGUCCAAAUACGGGCUCGCUUUAUGGACGUAUAUCUUUUUUCUAACCUAUCGACGCGUAUGCCGGACGCGGGGUCGAGGUUUUUUAACGAGAGUUUUGCGGGAAAUUCUGCUGCGCGUUCGAAUUUCUUUGCGGCGCUUUCUUCGUAAACGUUACACGUAACCUGCGGUGGAGAUUGUUUCCCCUACGAGCCAGGAGAUUAAACCCGCUUGAUAAAAAAAUGACAAAAACGUUCGUCCUUUGGAAGGAAGGUUGCGAGAACGUUGAAGUUUACCGUAUUACCGUUUACCGAAAAAAGUUAGAAAAGAUUAGAGAAGAUUAGAGAAGAAGCAACAUGGGUAACUUUCGUUUCAAUUUUCCGAUUAGAAAGUAACGACUGUGAAAAAUAUGGUAAUUAUCUGGAAAAGAUAUUUACGAAAUAUAUCAGAGAAUAAUGGAGAGUAUCCGAUGAAGCGGCGAAGCGGUCGGUAUAUCGCGAUAUUUCAUAUAUCAAAACACUGUCGCAUCGAAGCGUCUACUCUGACAUUCUAGGUGUAUACGUAGGUGUACGUAUACCGUAUACCGUAUACACGCGUAUUAACGAAGCACUGAUAUAGUUACAUUGUUUAUUAUAAUAGGAAUGGCGUAUUGUACGAUUAAUCUAUACGUACAUAUAUAGUAAUAAGAAUUUACACUUUCCAGUAUCCGAAGGAUUUUCCAAGGAUGCUUGUAUUAUUUAACUCGAACAACGAUAUAAUGAGUCAGCUUUAAUCGUCCUCUCCUUCUCUUUCUUUCUCCUUUCCGGAAUAGAAAUAAAUAAGAGUAUUCGCUAGUACAAAUUUUCCCUAAAUACGUCUUCGCUGCAAGACACGCAUAAAAGCGUAAAGCGUAAAAGUGAGCGGAGCAAUUAAUGAAUUCUUCGUUAAACGGGCAACGCGUUUAACCUCUUAAACGAGAAAUUAUGCGAAGCGAGAGGUACGCGCAUAGCCGACCUAUGCACCCGUUUCAUUUUUUUCUUCUUUCGUAUUUUGCUCGCGAAACAGUCACCUUGAAUGCUCUAAGAACGAAGGAGCGUGCUUGGCAGUUGUACGUACUACUUACUCGUAAUGCCGCUCUAUUUUAUAGGGCCCCGACUUUCUUGUCAUUUUUUUGUGACGAGAAAAGAAACAGAGAAUAGAUACGGAAUCUUGGCGUUAAAUUAAAAAAUGCAAAUGAUUUUUUUAUUCUUCCGAUUGCCUCUAAAACCCAAAUGGAAAGUUAAACUGUGUGCAGGUAUGAUAUUUCUUUGUUCGCAUCUAACGUUACACAGCGUGUCUAUAAAUUUCUGCCAUUCGAAAUAGCUGUCAGGCGAUAAAUGAUACUAGAAAUGUUUAUUGUUUUUUAUGUAGAUGGCGACGAUGCAAGCAAAAAUAUUCAAGCUUACUUGGAGAUCGUUGCGUUGUUUAAGUAGGGUCGUCAUAUUUUUGUUGAUGUGUAAAUCACACGAUGAAAGAGCAACAAAAUACGAAUUGAAAAUGCUACUUUUCAGUGACAUUGAAUCGAUACAAGGUUGCGAUAAAGAAGAGAGGAUGAAACUGGACGAAACUGAUGGAAAUGACGUGUACCCUGUUGCUACAUACACUUGGCUAGAAAAUCAAAGGAUGAGAAAAUUUUCGUCAAAAAUUGUUAAUUUUUGAACUGUUAUAGCUUGGUACGGAAAAAUCACACGACGAUUAAUUAAUUAUUAGUUAAUUAAAAAUCAAAAACUCUGGUCCGUGAUAAUUCUUUAAGGCUUGUUUCGAACGCAGAGAUGCACGCAACCUAAAGUACACCACCAGUUGGACAACGAGAAGUUGCACGGUUAGACUUGCCUUUCCUAUGUAUACGUUCAGCAUGUAUAAUCAAUGUAUGUACCUAACGCGAGCGCGCAAAACAUACGCUUCUGGUUCUGUAAAAUUUUGGACAAAGAAACUCGUCUUUAUCUCGCUGGAUACAAAUUAUGCACCACGCUUCUAAAAAACAUGCCUCGAAGAAAGUCAAUUCAGCGAGGCGAAAUUCCGUGUUUCUCUAACUUUGCUAUUUAAUACAUGUGCUUCGAUUUUUGCUUAACGAAUUAAAUUCUGUUUGUCGUUAUAACGCAGAAAUACGCGCAACGGACGAUAUUUUCUUGGAACUAUACUUAUCGGCGAAAGUUUAUAACGUAGGUUGUACGUAAUGAGAUGCAGCUGCAUCUGGAAAAUUUUCCAUCGAAUAUUCGAUAAUGUAUACCAGUCGAAGUCUGGUAGAAUUCGCACCAUACCCAUCGUAGAAGCACAAGUGUCAUACGGAUAAUUUCUCGUAUAACUUGAAACAACGCAUUAUCAUCGCGUGUAUCGUACAGUGUGAAAUAUCUAGCGCGUGAUUCCGAUCGAUUGCAAUUUUUUCACAAUUUCUUUUACGCCUUAUCCGACAAACCUUGGAAAAGAAAUAAAGCGAAAUUUAUAUUUGAGGCUACGCGUAUUAUUUAACGAUUUAUUUUACAAAUUUGUAUUCCGCAAAUUAUUUCCCUAAAUAAUUAUUUAUUCCGUAAUAAAGCUUUCGAUGACGGUAGGUAUAAUUUUGUUACAUUCUUGACCAAAUGGUCAUCACUCUUUCACCGAUGAGUUAAGCUUAAGUUGGUCUAUAUAAAAAUAUCUCCUACCGUAGACCGAUUAGCGUGAUCUUAACCUAAAUUUCAUUGAAUUUUUUUGCCAAUAUCUUGGAAAUUAAGACGCGGCACGUACGAGAACAAGUUUUUCGGAACAUCGAACUUGACGACAUAUUUCAGGAUCGUCGAAAUCGACGAGAUCGUUCCUAUUCCGAAUAACUUGAUCGGUUUAACGAAUUCUUAACAGCGUAAAAAAAUUACACGGUAAGAGCUAUACCAGGAAUUUUUCGCAGCUCUCGGACCUUUCAAAAUGUUUCGCUAAAACGGUUUACAACUUGUCACUGGUGCUAAAUACACGUAAAACAUAUAAGAAAGAAAUUAACGUUACGCGAGAAAAUUGUUAAUUGCAAUUUUUACGCGAAUAUCGAUACAUAUUUUAAACGUUGAACGAAACGAACGACCAUUGCCGUAUACGAUAUACGUUCGUCCGAUUGGCAAAACAAGAAAAAUAGUACAUUUACCGGACGAAUUUCAUUGUUAGGUAUAGUUAGAUAUAGUAUUAUAUUAGACCUAAGACUCGACAAAAUACGUAUCCAAAAUACGUAUAAAUCCAUCAUACGAGUAUAAUUCCAUAUUAUUUCGUCAUUUUUCUAUGUACGUCAACAACGAGAGCAUUUAGAAAAAGCAUACGAUGACGUUUUGCGUUAGCAAGUUCGAAGGACAAUUAUCGUUCGCUGAUUCGCAACGUCGAUUUCACACGACGCUGUGCUUGUAAUACCGAAUAAAGAAGAGAUUCGUGACGGAGAGAAUCUCGGUUACAUUUGUCACAAAUGUUAUCCCUCCCUUCUUCCGUCAGUGCGUCUCGAGUUCUCUUCUUCCUGUGAGUUACGUCGAAACCGCGAUAAUGACGACUAAUUGACACUGACGAAGGCUAUUCGCGGACCAAGUCGAGAAUCGUACAAAAUCUCUGUGACGCGUUCGUUCGAAGCAUUCUUUAACGUAUUUGUUCUGUUGAAAAAAUGACUUUCGAUGAAUUUUAUCAAGAGUAUGCGAAAGAUAUGAAUUAUAUUCGCAUAUAAUGUAUCCAAUCAUACAGGCGCGUUAUACCGUGGACAGGGUGGAAAAAAGUAACUGCAAAAACCAUCGCAACGUGAUUCUAUCUACACGAUUUCGGAUCCGCGAAGAUUUGUAAAAACAGUAGCUUGAAAUUCAUGGUCGAAUCUUUCUUCGUUCCAUCGUAUUCUACUUGUCGCGAGGAUAAAAAGUCCGAAAGGAGACGCGAAACUCGACCGUUCUCUCGAAAAAGAACGAUAAAGUUUCAAUAAUUUGGUGAUACGACCCGGCGACGCUCGACCGUCGCGUAGUCAUCCGACGAACGUCAAAUUUCUUCUGCGUUAUCUCGUUCGUCGUUUCUCGCGUAGAAAACAAAUUUUUAUAUAUCAACUGCUAGAUUAUCUCAUUUCCCUUGCUAUUGCGUACAAUACAAUGGUUUUGCAAUGUGCCGUUGAACGUCGUAGCAAAAAAAAAAAAAAAAAAAAAAAAUAAAUUAUGCAAGUCUGGAAGGUAAAAGAUUGAUAAAUCUACGAAAACUCUUUCUUCGCGUCCGUUUCGGUUUUAUUAGGCAUCCGUUCGUUAAACUUCGCCGUUGCGAUGAAAAUGCAAAUACAGACCAUUAAUUUUAAUUUUCGGAUAAUCUUCUACGCACUUUCAUUGAGAUUUACUCUGCAACGGAGGCGAGGCUGCAACGAAUAAUCAUCUCGCGAAAUGCACCGCUGAUGCUUCUGAAUUUCGAUCGACGAAAUUCCUGGAAAAAUUCAUCGUUUUACGCCACACUUACCAUUCGUACGUAAGCGAAUAUUAAUAGAUUGUUACAUAAUUUACGGAAUUCUACGACAAAUUUGAUCGAAUAACGAAUAAAAGAUACAAAUAACAUCGAUGAAAUCAAAAACGCUUACUUCGAUAGAAUUCAGAGCCACGGUGUAUAUGUUUACCUACGACCCUUAACGAUCAUCAAAAAUUACUUUUUAGAAGUACCGUAAACUCCGUAUCUCGGAAAUUCUAACGUAACGAUACAAAAAGUUGGCGGCGAAUUGCAGCGAUGCAACAUAGAAAAAGAUCGUGCAACUGCGCUACGUUCGUACGCAGUGCCAAUAUUACGAGAUGAAGUGCAGAUACCGUCGAAAAACAUCCGAUUCGUACGAGAUCGUUCGCGUCGCUGACGUUGCAGCCGAUAACGCGUUUCGAAUUAAAGCGCAACACCCAUCGUUUGCAAAUCGGUUGGCACGAUUAUAAACUUCAAAUAGAUCAGAGAUAAAUGAUCGAUUUGGUUGGCAUGCACAGAUAUAGGUGCAUAUACGUAUUGACGCCUUGUACACGCGCAUGUAUUUACGAACGAUAAUGGCUGGACGCGUUAUUUCGUUUAUCCUUCGUAUUUAUUCGCCGUAUAUUUUCGUUUACGCGACCAUUACACGACGUACUAACGGUGAUUUCUCGUGCUUUCGUUAAGAAGAUUAUGCUAAGAAUUAGCCGAUUUUUUAUCUCGAGUUCAUCCUUCGAAAAAUAAAGGGGAUGGCGAAUAGGAAAAUCACGCGGAAAUACGGAGAAAGUCCCUAUCGAACAAAUUCACUUCGCGCACUAUUUAUGGAAACUAGACGUUGAUUACGAACUCCACGUUCUCGCGUAGUUCGCUUUCGUGAAAACUAAUUAUUAAAAUCGAAGCUCGAUAACUGAAGUCGAUGAUCGUCGAUUGAAACCGAAAGACCACUAAUUGCUGGUCGAAGCUCUGUACCACUUCCCCAAAGUUCACUCGAACUUCGUUUAAUUUGUAAUCAAUCGAUAAACUAAUUGUAAGAUCGCGAACUAUUUGAAUGUAAUUUUAAUUCUAUCUCGGUCUCGUACAAAUUUUCAGUUAAUUAAAAAUCAUAACGAUUAGCACAAGUAUUUUAACGAGCCUGUCGCCAAUAUCAAUGGAUAAAAUUAAGAAAGGUGAUAAAAAUAAAAAAAGCAUUUAAGACUUAGCGAUUACUUAUUAGAAAAGGCUGACUCCUAUUACGAUCGACUAAAAUUAAUUAUUCUUUCGCUAAUUACAGAAGUUUCGUCUUCCUCUGCGAUUACAAGCAUACCGCGACAUACGAACAAUUAAAACCAGCCAUCGAUCUAUUUUAAUUGAAAAAUAUCUAAUAAAAUACAUUGCUAUCGUCAAAUUAAAUGUAUGCGUGUGCGUGUUUACAUAUUUUUAAAAAUAGCCUUCAGUUAUUCGAGUUAGGUCCAAGCUGGAUGUUUCACAACGGUAAGACCGAUCUCGUUUUCUUAUAUGCGGACGCAACUGAAUCCGCACCUGUAAUAGGUGAUACAAGUAGAAACACGUUAUACGUAAAAUUUACGCUAUAACAGUGUAGACGCAGCUUUAGGCUGUGCGCGCACCAACGACCACCAAAAGUGUCGCUUUGACGUUUAUAUAUGACGUUAGUAGAAAAAGAAGAAGAAAUUGAACUUUCGAUCGAUGAGAGGGAGAGGCAGAGGGAGGGAGAGAGAGAGAGAGAAA